GACCUCGUAGUUCAGUUGGUAUAGAGCAUUGGACUAGUAUCCCAAAGGUCGCGGGUUCGAUUCCCACAGUGGUCA